UUGAGAUAAGCACCGUGACUGUCCUUUACGAACCAACCGUAAGCAUAAAGGCCAUUUCAUAAAGACUGUAUUGAAAUCCGUAUUUUCUGAAACUUGCUUAAAAGUACAGUAACUGAUUGGAAAACAACUAACUAAAUACUUUCACCUUGUCGUUUCACGAUGAACAAAUGCCUGCACGAGCUGGAAUAUUGAAGUUUCUCGACAAGAACGGACACAUGCAGAUCAUGAAGUUGAAUUCUAGUAAUACAGUUUAACACUUCUAAGGCAAACCUAGUCCGACACAGUCUGUACAAAGGGCUUUACAUCAAGCCCGUUUAGAGGACACUUCUUCAGUGAACGAGUUACUGCUUAUUUUUGUUUCUUUUUCUAAUGAUCGAUUAUUAUAAUAUUUAUGUGUCUGGUCCGUUUUAGAUGACACGUUUCUCUGUAAAUUAAUCCGACUGACUUUGAAAUUUCUGACACUCUGAAUUCGAUUUCUUGAAAGGAAUUCUUGGGCGAUCAACGCUAUUGUUGAAUUAAUUUCAGGAAAGAGAACAGUCAGUAAAUUUAUUUUUCUCAGAAAUCGUCUUACAACGGUUGAUCGGUACAAUCAUUGUCAUAUACCCACUCGUUUUAAACCGACCGUAAUAGUAACAAUACAUUAAAUUUGGAUAUCGUUGAAUUUUCCAUCGAAUGGAAAGUGCCCAUGAUGAAGGAUAAAGAAGAAACUGUAAUCAAAUAAAUGAUUUGAAUUUUUAUAUAGCAACAACUGUUCGCGACUCCACCGUCCUUUGCCAAAAAGUCCAUUCCCACAUAUUUUUAAACCUCGUUUAAGUUUGCAUCAAUUACCGGAAGUUGCGUGCACACACCCUGUUUCUGUUUGGGUUAUAACUGCUUCCGCGAAUGCUGAAACAGCGAAAACAAAAAAGGGUGUUUUUGCUUCUUAAGUUACAAUUAUUAAAACGUGGCAGGCGCAAUAGCUCAUCCCAUUAUUUAACCCCUGAGUCGGUGGCUUCUGUACGUGGCUGGUCGCCUUUGUCGUGUACAUUUCCAUCUUCAUCCAAAGAGAGAGUCUUACUACAGAAGAGAAGCUUAUACUGACUGACCUCCAGUAGGCCGUUCUGUUUUUCCACGCUGCAUUUGACUGCCGAUCAGUACCUUUGAGGCGCAAACAAACUGAAGGUCGAUGGCCCAACAAAUCAACGGAGAAGUACAUUACCAGGAAGUCAUCAGUAACACUGCAGAGAUAUUUUGCCCAUAUUAUGAAUGUGAAUAUCCGAAAUGUCAGCAAGUGAAGGAGGGACUGGAACGUCUCUUGCGUGACAGAUACAGAAAUGACAUCACCAGCUUUGUUGACAAGUUUGUUCAUCCUACGCUGAGUCUGCUCAGUGAUUUGCAGGCACAGCAUUUUCCCCUUUGCUCCAAUGGUAAAGUUGUUCUUCAUCUUGUGCCGCCUGUACCUCAAUUGGAGCUUGGCGAGUUCUUUUAUCAGGUUUGUGUAAUCUGUAGAUUUUAUGGUACUUUGCUUUAAAAAGUGUUUAUUUUGU